GUGAUUGUGUACGUUGCAAAUUGUUUUGGCAAAUUGUUUAUUCCUCUAAAAAAUAGUAGGUAUAGCACUGAAUAUCUCGAGGGAGUAUGAAAAUAUUUAUCUCAGAUAUUUAAUCUCAAAAUAACUAUUUCUUAAAAUAAAUAAUCAGACUAUGUGCGAUAAGCUAGAUAGUCGAA
rnacentral:rRNA from 1 species